CCAUUGGUGGUUCAGUGGUAUAAUUUUCACCUUCCACAUGGGAGAUCCAGGCUCACUUCCUGGCCAAUGUA
rnacentral:tRNA from 1 species